rnacentral:lncRNA from 1 species
AGGAAAGUUAUGAACAUUUUAAAGCCGUGUUUUGUUAUGCAAGCAAGAUCUUAAAAUUUUUUUUUCCAUGGUUCUGGAGUAAAGCUGUGGAUAUUUCCUUAUUUAUUCAAAUAGAAAAAAAAUAUCAUCGGUCCGACAUAUAAAAAGCACCUUGCCAUUUUUUAAUAUCAUUAAUUAUAUCUUCAAGCAGUUCUGUUUUGAAUCGGGAAGAACAAUAUCUACUUCAAUUCAAAUAUUCGCUCGGUGUGACUCUCUGAAA